rnacentral:rRNA from 1 species
ACGGAUUUUGGGGCUUGCUCCAAAGUUAGUGGCGAACGGGUGAGUAAUACAUCGGAACGUACCCAGUUGUGGGGGAUGACGUAGCGAAAGUUACGCUAAUACCGCAUACGCACUGAGGUGGAAAGCGGGGGACCUUCGGGCCUCGCGCAAUUGGAGCGGCCGAUGUCGGAUUAGCUAGUUGGUGAGGUAAAGGCUCACCAAGGCGACGAUCCGUAGCUGGUCUGAGAGGACGACCAGCCACACUGGAACUGAGACACGGUCCAGACUCCUACGGGAGGCAGCAGUGGGGAAUUUUGGACAAUGGGCGAAAGCCUGAUCCAGCCAUGCCGCGUGAGUGAAGAAGGCCUUCGGGUUGUAAAGCUCUUUCAGACGGAAAGAAAUUGCUUCGGUGAAUAUCCGGAGUAGAUGACGGUACCGUAAGAAGAAGCACCGGCUAACUACGUGCCAGCAGCCGCGGUAAU